rnacentral:rRNA from 1 species
CCCUUAGAUGUUCUGGGCUGCACGCGCGCUACACUGAUGCGCUCAACGAGUUUUAACCUUGCCUGGAAAGGUUGGGUAAUCUUUUUAAAACGCAUCGUGAUGGGGAUAGAUUAUUGCAAUUAUUAAUCUUCAACGAGGAAUUCCUAGUAAGCGCGAGUCAUCAGCUCGUGCUGAUUACGUCCCUGCCCUUUGUACACACCGCCCGUCGCUCCCACCGAUUGAGUGAUCCGGUGAAUAAUUCGGACUGCGGCAUUGACCGGUUCCCGAUCGUUGCUGCGGAAAGUUUAGUGAACCUUAUCACUUAGAGGAAGGAGAAGUCGUNACA